GCUGGGCGUGGUGGUGCAUGCCUGUAAUUCCAGCAGCUUGGGAGGCUGAGGCAGGAGGAUGGCGAGUUCAAAGCCAGCCUCAACAAUGGUGAGGUGCUAAGCACCUCAGUGAGACCCUGUCUCUA
rnacentral:sRNA from 1 species